ACUCUCCCAAAUUCCACCAGGCUUAAUAACCUCUAUUCAAACGAAAGAGAAGUGAGAACUAGAGCAGUAGGAAGAAGUGACCGCCCAACCCUGUCUGUCCUCCCACCGGGGUCAGCUGUCAGAUCCGCAUGGGUGCGACCAGCAGACAGCUGGGCUCCAGAGCCCUUCGACUGGGCUAGGCUCGGGUCUCCCCUACUUCCCAGUCCCAAUCCUGACUCCGUUGGCCACCUCCGGAGGCAAAAUACACCGGAAGAAUUUGUCAUAACAAGUAGACACCCAUAUUCACCAACUGGUUUAGCAAUCUGAAAUCUACAUCAAGGCUCCAACAGGGAGGGGCAGGAGAAUAUGGUAUAAUUGUCCUAAACUAUCUUUCUACGAAGUUGGGAAGGUUCACGAGGCCAUGAGGGUAGAGAAGCAAAGACAAACAUACCAUCUCUACGUUUUAAGCAGGAGAGGGAGCCUCCUCGCCCUGAUUUAAAAUGUAGUAUUUUCAGAGGUAGGCUUCCACGCCGUGACACGUGUGGGGAGAUAAUGGGUUCUGGGGCUCCCCUGCCCUAAGCGCAAAAUACCGUACUCUGGAAAUUAAGGUGACUUGGUUUUAUUGCCUCCAGAAGAGUCCGCCUGCCGUCCCGGGACAGCCUCCAGGACCCCCGCCCGCGGCCUCAGCGGGGUCCCACCCCGCGCCCCCACUCCCACCCUUCCAACGAGAGGUUUCGCAAGGGCCUGCCUUACACGCUCCCGGCAGCACCCACCCAUCCCCCUCCCCAGGUCUCAGGCAAGUAGCCUGGUUAAUCAUUCAACGCGGGCGGCGUGAAACAUUUUUUUAGAGGUCAAAGCGAAAGGUUCUCCCUAAGUUUCACAGAAACCAGCCUUUGGGGACCCGGAGGUGGCAGCGGCUGGCAGAUGGGGGCGGGGAGCGGCUGCUGGCGGCUAUUUGGCUCACAAAACACCUGAUCUCCCCAUGCGGCACCCGAGACCAGCGCAAUGAGAGGGUGGGGUGAGGGUUGCGAGAGCGAAAUCACGCACAGCCCCCUAUCCAAACCGCCCGUGGAAGCCAGGUUGCCCCUCUUGUGGUACGUCUGAUGUUGGGGGACUAAGCACAUGGCCAGGGGAGCACUCCAGUGACCUUAAAUGGCCAGAACCAGUUUGUAACUGCGCCUAUACAGGACCACAGCCGCCGUUCCGGUGUUUGGGUGCGUGCGCCCCCACAAAACCCGGGGUUCCACUGAAUAAGGGGGAACCAGGGCCAGAAUGGGACUUGACCAUUGCUCUCUGCCCACGUGGCCAUUACCCGCCGCCACCUCUCGGAUACCCAAAUGACGCCCUAGAGCCCAAGGCCUACAGUGAUGCCCUACUUGGCAUUGCCGCCCGAUCUUCGGAUUUAUGAGGCCGCCCACUAAUUGGUGAGGGGGAAGUUUUAGUUCUCCUUGCGGUGUCUUGCAGAGAAUUUCCUCGAGGUUCCACGCGAGUCUUGAAAGCCAGAAAUAAGGUGUCCAGACGCUGCGCCUCCAACUCGCACCGCGGCCCAGAGGGGCUGGGCGGACGCCUGGGAACUGCCUAAAUGGCUGAACUCUGACGCUCACACCUUCGGCUCCCCGCUACGGGGUGAGGAUUUGGGGCCGAAGACACACACUGGCCGAAACACCUGGAACCAUAGACGCAUCCUCCCAGCCCAGCGCCCCCGCUGGCUCGCCAGAGCACUGCAUUUUAAGGCGAGUCCCAGCCGCUGUGAAAACAACUUUGGGGAGCCCCAGGUAAGCCCUGCGCGACCGCGUGGGGAGGUUGCCCAGGUCUGGAAGGCCCAGCGCAGCCAGCUCACCCCGCGCGUACUCGCCGGGAGGCAAACCUGGCGGCAGGCACACUUGAGAGCACCUCCCUCUCUUGGUCCUUAUCUCUUCAGGAAGAAAAAGGUCUCCUUUACAUAGCCAGACUGAACAAUUAAGGACACGACACCCUCAAAUAUUUGCAUUUUUCGGAAGGCUUUCUGAGGUGGAAUUAGCCGAAGGGGAAGGAAUUGCAAAUGUAGGAAUUCAGGGACCUGUGAGCUCAGCCCACUUGACUGUGGACCCUAACUCUUCUCCAAGCUCAGAGUAGAACACUUUGCUGCUGGAUGCACGGAGCCACGUGGGUGCACUCUUCUAGAAACAGGAAUUCAGAGCCAGAUCUGGGAAAGUUUUUAUUUUCAGCCUUCAGAACGUUUUGCUUUUAUGUUGAUCACAUGGUUCUCUUAAGACUGAGACAUAAAAGUCCAAGAAACAAGUUGGAUUUUUGUAUAUUCAUAGAAAAACAAGAAGGAUGCACACCGACUGCUAACCACGGUUACCCCAAGUGUGGGAUUGGAGUGUGGGAAGCAGGGAGAUGAAUUUUAUACCUUUACUGACUUUGAAUUUUGUAUUUUUCCAGUGGUAUUAACUCUCUUAAUUUAGAAAGCUAAUAAAACAUUUUUAAAGAA